UCUUUCAAGUAUUUCUUGCUGUUUUUUUACACACUAGUUCUUUUCUCAUUUGGCAGAGGACAAGUGUUAUAGAGCAAGGCACCUUUAUUCUGUCACUAUAGAGAAUGUGUUAGUAAGUGAAUGACUGCAAUGUAAUAUAAUUCUUCUCCUCAAUGAAUAAAACAAAUAAUGUAUAUAAAUAUCUGUCAACUGCAAAGUUUAUUUAACCAACAAAUAUUUAUUAAGGGUUCGUUAUCUAGCAAGCCGUGUGUGUUGCUGCAAGUACAAUCUACAAGAAACACUUAGGUUAGAAAUAUGACUAUUGCAUGGGAUAUUUUGGCAUGAGAGAAUAUUUUAAUACCUUUUAAAUAUAUUAUAAUUGUUAAUGCUUCAUUAUGCAAAAUCGAUGUAAAACACAAAUCUGUAUAAUUUGUAACUAAAAGAAAAGUUUUUUCUUAUUAUAUCGCAACUAAGUAUCACAGAAUUUUAGGCUAAAAGAGGCCUAGAUGCUACUAGCUCUUAUGACCUAACACAGUAAAAUACCGUAUAGAAAAGGUAAACACUACACAACUAAUUAUUAAAAGAAUUGGAGCACAAUCUCAGAUCUCUUGAUUCUCAACCCAAUUCUCUUUCAAAAAUAAGAAACACAAUGCUUUUUUGUAAGCUAUUUUAUGAUACUACAUAUUAUUUCCUGACAACAAUUUAAAUUAUUUACUGAGAAUUUCUUUUACAUAACUCUCAAAAGUGUAAAAUUAUUUUAUCACCAUUACCUUGGGGACAACAAACAUCAAAAUUUGUGCUAAAAUGAAACUUUGAGUUGAGUUCAAUGAAUAUAUUGUGUGUUUUUAAGACAUACUAUCUUUACUAAUUUCAAUAAAUUCAAAUUUUACACAAACCUGAAGUGUAAAUAUACACUUCUGAUAUUAAUGUAGAAGUUUUCAAUAUGAUUUACAAGAUAAAGAAUACAUGAGAUGCCCUUUUCAUCACUCACUUAUUUCUCAACUAUGUUGAUAAAAGGUUUAGGUGUUAUUCUAUUUUAUAAGCUAAGAGACAAUUAGUCAUAUUUCCUAUUUAGUACAAAAGGAAGAGCACUGACCUUACCUCUGCCAUGUUCACAUUGUAUGGUCCAGUUGAGAAUCCUGCCUGAGAGUUGGCUGUGUAAACACAGAGCAGCAGAGAAGAGUCACCACACUCCAUCAUAUGAGAAGGCACGUGUCUGCUGGCUGCCUCCCAUUUUUCCCUAUUUGGGAACAGUCCUCUGUGCUGAGUGGUCUUCCUGCCAUAUGGGUCAAUAAAGUAUUUUCAACCAAAGAAAUCACUCGGACUCUUCAAUAACCAUAAACUUAACCUGGAAACAAAAAAGGAGAAAUGGGAGCUGAAGGUGUAAGUAUAGAUUGAAUUCAAUCAAGUUAAAACAUUUUAAAAGUGUAAGUAUGAUGUUUUCCAUAAAAAUGACUGUAAUUUUUGUAUAUUAAUUUAAAGAUAAUUAUCCAGACA
rnacentral:lncRNA from 1 species